rnacentral:rRNA from 1 species
CAGUCGCCGCGGUAAUACGGAGGGGGCAAGCGUUAUCCGGAAUUAUUGGGCGUGAAGGGUACGUAGGUGGCCUUUUAAGCGUAGGGUAUAAGGCAAUGGCUCAACCAUUGUUCGCCCUAUGAACUGGAAGGCUUGAGUGCAGGAGAGGAAAGCGGAAUUCCUAGUGUAGCGGUGGAAUGCAUAGAUAUUAGGAGGAACAUCAGCGGCGAAGGCGGCUUUCUGGACUGCAACUGACACUGAGGUACGAAAGCGUGGGGAGCAAACAGGAUUAGAUACCCCUGUAGUCCCUGUCUCUUAUACA